UACGGAGGGUGCGAGCGUUGUCCGGAAUCACUGGGCGUAAAGGGCGCGUAGGCGGCGCGGGUAGUCAUCGGUGAAAGUUCAGGGCUCAACUCUGAAUCGGCCGGUGAUACUCCCGUGCUCGAGCACUGUAGAGGCAGGUGGAAUUCCGGGUGUAGCGGUGGAAUGCGUAGAGAUCGGAAAGAACACCAACGGCGAAAGCACUCUGCUGGGCCGACACUGACACUGAGGUGCGAAAGCUAGGGUAGCAAACGGG
rnacentral:rRNA from 1 species